AUACGUAGGGUGCGAGCGUUAUCCGGAUUUAUUGGGCGUAAAGCGUGUGUAGGCGGUUUGUUAAGUUUAAGAUUAAAGCCCGAGGCUUAACCUCGGUUCGUCUUAAAAACUGGCAGACUUGAGUGCAGUAGAGGCAAGUGGAAUUUCUAGUGUAGCGGUUAAAUGCGUAGAUAUUAGAAGGAACACCAGUGGCGAAGGCGGCUUGCUGGGCUGUUACUGACGCUGAGACACGAAAGCGUGGGGAGCAAAUAGGAUUAGAUACCCUAGUAGUCCACGCCGUAAACGAUGAGUACUAAGUGUCGGGUAACCGGUGCUGAAGUUAACACAUUAAGUACUCCGCCUGAGUAGUACGGUCGCAAGGCUGAAACUCAAAUGAAUUGACGGGG
rnacentral:rRNA from 1 species